ACUGUCUUUGUCUGUCUGACAAGCGCCAUGUUGAUAUCAACAUCCGAGCCCCCACCUGCUGCAGCUGUGAGACCCUGGGACUUGUAGUUCCCCCUCCCCAGGGUGACGGGGAGACCCGCGGCACCGGGACUACAACUCCCAGCGUGCUGCGGGUGCGCGGCGUGCCAAUGGGGCGCCGGGGCUGAGCUCGGGGCGGACUACAACUCCCGGCAUGCCUCGGGCGGCCCUGACGUUAUCUAGGGCGGAGGGGAGGCGGGACUACAACGCCCAUGAUGCCCCGGGGCGCGGCGGGGCGGGCAGGAAGGGGGGCAGGAUUGUCCCGGUAAAUAGAACCGGGGGACGCGAUGAAGCUGUACUGCCUGUCAGGACAUCCAACCUUGCCAUGCAACGUGCUCAAGUUCAAGUCCACCACCAUCAUGCUGGACUGUGGGCUGGAUAUGACGUCUACCCUCAAUUUCCUCCCGCUGCCUCUGGUCCAGAGCCCCAGGCUGUCCAAACUUCCCGGUUGGGUUUUGAAAGAUGGAAGCACAUUUCUGGACAAGGAGCUGAAGGAGUGCUCUGGCCAUGUGUUUGUAGACUCUGUGCCUGAGUUCUGCUUACCAGAGACUGAACUGCUUGACCUCUCCACAGUGGAUGUAAUCUUGAUCUCCAACUAUCACUGCAUGAUGGCACUGCCCUACAUCACAGAGUACACAGGAUUCACUGGAACAGUUUAUGCCACCGAGCCCACUGUUCAAAUUGGCAGGCUCCUCAUGGAAGAGCUGGUGAAUUCCAUUGAACGCGUGCCAAAGGCUCAGUCUGCCUCCAUGUGGAAGAACAAGGAGGUGCAAAGGUUGCUGCCAGCCCCACUGAAGGAUGCAGUGGAGGUGUCCAUGUGGAGGAAGUGCUACACCAUGCCAGAGGUGAACUCAGCCCUCAGCAAGAUCCAGCUGGUGGGCUAUUCCCAGAAAAUCGAGCUGUUUGGUGCUGUGCAGGUCACCCCUCUGAGCUCGGGCUACGCUCUUGGGAGUUCCAACUGGAUUAUCCAGUCACACUAUGAAAAGGUUUCUUAUGUUUCAGGAUCUUCUCUGCUUACAACACACCCUCAGCCCAUGGACCAGGCUUCUCUUAAAAACAGCGACGUUCUCAUCCUGACAGGGCUGACCCAGAUCCCCACUGCCAACCCUGAUGGAAUGGUGGGAGAGUUCUGCAGCAACCUGGCAAUGACAGUCCGGAAUGGAGGCAAUGUCCUGGUUCCCUGUUACCCCUCUGGAGUGAUCUAUGACCUGCUGGAGUGUCUCUACCAGUACAUUGACUCUGCAGGACUCUCCAAUGUCCCCUUUUAUUUCAUCUCACCUGUUGCCAACAGCUCCCUGGAGUUCUCCCAGAUCUUUGCUGAGUGGUUGUGUCAUAACAAACAAACAAAGGUGUAUCUUCCAGAACCUCCUUUUCCCCAUGCUGAGCUCAUUCAGACAAACAAAUUGAAACAUUAUCCCAGCAUCCAUGGAGACUUCAGCAAUGACUUCAAGCAGCCCUGUGUUGUGUUCACUGGGCAUCCCUCUCUCAGAUUUGGGGAUGUGGUGCAUUUCAUGGAGCUGUGGGGAAAAUCCAGCUUGAACACUGUUAUAUUCACAGAACCUGAUUUCUCUUACCUGGAUGCCCUGGCUCCCUAUCAGCCCUUGGCAAUGAAAUGUGUUUACUGUCCCAUUGACACGAGACUCAACUUUAUUCAGGUGUCUAAAUUACUCAAAGAAGUCCAGCCCCUGCACGUGGUGUGCCCUGAGCAGUACACGCAGCCCCCUCCUGCCCAGUCGCACCGCACAGACCUGAUGGUGGACUGCCAGCCCCCGGCCAUGUCCUACCGCCGCGCCGAGGUGCUCACGCUGCCCUACAAGCGCCGCUACGAGAAGAUCGAGAUCAUGCCCGACCUUGCAGAUUCCCUCGUGCCCUUGGAGAUCAAGCCUGGUAUUUCCUUGGCAACAGUUUCUGCUGUGCUGCAUACUAAGGACAACAAGCAUGUGCUGCAGCUCCCUCCAAAACCUCCCCAGCCUCCUGCCAGCAAGAAGAGGAAGAGGGUGAGUGAUGAUGUGCCCGAGUGCAAAUCUUUGAAGCCACUGCUGAGUGGCUCCAUCCCCGUGGACCAGUUUGUGCAGACUCUGGAGAAGCAUGGCUUCAGUGAUGUGAAGGUGGAGGACACAGCCAAGGGCCACAUUGUGCUGCUGCAGGAGGCUGAGACCCUGAUCCAGCUGGAGGAGGACUCCACCCACAUCAUCUGUGACAAUGAUGAGCCCCUGAGGGUCAAACUGAGGGACCUGGUGCUCAAAUUCCUGCAGAAAUUUUAGCUGAUGGACAUCAGGAGGCUCUGCAAGGAGAGAGCAGCAGAACUUGGAGCUGUCCAAGGAGAGAGAGAGAGAGAAAAUUCUGUGAAAUCACCUUCCCCUUCGUGGAGGAGCAAGGGAGUAUUUUUAAUAUCUAUUUUUUAAAUCUUAUUUUUAACUUGUUUUGGAAUACUUUGAAGGAGAUUCCUGUUGUGUAAAAUUGGGAGCUGGGAAUCUUACAGGAGAUAGGAGCUGCAGAGUAAAUAACUAGAGUGUUUAUUUACACCAUCAGGGUGAACUGCUGCUCCUCUGUGUCCCUCAGCAGUGGCUGCCCCAGUCCUUCACCUGCCAGAACUCUGUAGGAAUAUUGAAAUAAUGGCCUUUUUCUUUCUACUGCUUCUUCCCAGUCCCCAGAUCCCAUUCCCUGCCUCUCCUCUCUGUGUGGCGUUCACUGGCACAAGGAGGGGAGAGCUGGUGAGACAAAGAUUGUACAAAUAAAAAUGGAAAAGUGGGUUUGGUGGGCCUGGAGAAUGGUGGGAAGAGCCUGGCCAUCCCCUGCACAGGCAGAGGCACUUUGGAAAAGCUUUAUCCUUUAGGAAUUCAAGUGUUUCUUGGUGCUGCAGCCUCACCUGUUUCAUCCAGAUCUGUCCAUGGAGCUCCAGGCCCUUCACUAAAGCUGGUUCCUCCUGGCUUCCUCCAAACCUCAGGAAGACACUUAGGCAAGUCCAUAAAGUAGGAAAAUUGCUAAUGCUCCUAAAAAACCUUUUGAGAUUUAAGUGCCUCUUGUUUCUACCUUCCAAAAACUUAUCCUUGCAGCCCCCCCCACCCCAAAUGCUGGGUGGAAUUCUGAAUCAUCCAAAGCCAUCUGUACUGCAGACCUGGGGAGGCUUUUCCCUCCCUGAAUCACCUCAGUCAAUAAUAUUGCUUUUAAAGGCCACCCAUUUCUCAGAUUUACUGCUGUUCAUUUUUUAUUGGAUUGUUUUGUAUUUAUUUGGUGUUAAAAAAUAAAAAGCAGAGUGAGACUGCCCAGGAGGGAGCACAUCCUGUGGUUUAUAAAAGCCUCUCCAUGUCCAUUCCACAUCCUUGUCCUGACACCUCUGGGAAAUAAAGCUGCUCCUCCAGUUCAUCCCUUUGGGGAGGUGGAGGCAGUGGAAGCAGCUCUGGAAUAAAAUCUCUUUGCACUGCAGUGUCCACAUCCCAGGAAUUCUGUUGGGUUGGGUGUGCAGAUCCCAGCACCCUCACCUUUAUUCUGUGUGUGCCACAGGUGUGGGAGGAAUGGUGAAAACUUGGGGCAGUGGAAUUAAAUCCUCAGGAGGGUUUAAUUCCUGCUUUAGCAUCACUUAACCAGAGUAGAAGAACUGGGAUAAUUUCACUUUAAGAAACUCCAGAGGGAUUAUUCCUAACCCAGAGGGGCUGUGGGAUAAACUCAUCUUUCUGCAGGUUACCUCAGCUCCAGCCCUGAUCCCACUGCUCCAGUGUUUCCUUUCCACAUUCCCAAGGCUUUCCCACCCUCCUCAGGGGCAGAAGGUUGUCCUGUUCAGUCAGAUGGAACUCAGAUCUGCUUUUCUGCUUCCAGCCU